AAAAGCUUUCUUUAAUUGAAUAAUUGAAUUUAAUUUUUUAGUGCAAAAGCAAAAAUAAAAAUUAGGGACAAGAAGACCCUAUGAAUUUUUUAUUAAAUUUUAUAAAACUUUAUAUAAAAUUUAAUUUAAUUGGGGUGAUAGAAAAAGAAUAAAUAUCUUUUUUUAAAAGAAAAUUGGUUCCGUUCUUAGCGAUUAAAUGAAAAAAAUACUCUAGGGAUAACAGCGUAAUAAUUUUGGAUAGUUCAUAUAGAUAAAAUAGUUUGCGACCUCGAUGU
rnacentral:rRNA from 1 species